GUGAUGAGGAAUCCAUGUCGUCCAAACACUGAAAGACAAAAAUGAGGUUGAGAGAGAAAAGCAUAGUUAGCUUUACGACCCAGAAAAGGAGAUUUCAAAACAACAUAAGGCUAGCUUAGGAAAUUGCGUGGUUACUAACCCAACCUCAUUCUCUCUCUCUCUCUCUCUUAGUAUGUGUUAUGCUUUUGUGUCUAUAUUUAGUGGUUUGAAGUUUGAUUCAGGGUGCAACCAUAACCCCACAAUAUUCUUCCUUCUUUUCCUCAUCUCACUAUUAUUAGCCACACCUUAAUAUUUUCUACACUAGUUUUAUGCCAAUUCAGUAGGGUUUUUUCUUGUGGGGCUUUCAAACCCAUUUGAUUAUGACCUAGCUAUAGCUACCUCUUCUCUCCUUCCAUAGAUCUCCCUCAAACCACAAUAUAUACCUCUCCUUCUCUCCAUAUCUCCUUCACUUACUCUCACUCUCUACCUACUAGUACUAGUACUAAAAUUCUCUUCAUUAUUAUCUCUUCCUCUCUAGCUAUACCAUUCUUUUUGUCCCUUUCUUCCAAUCUUAUCCUCUCCCAAUUCCACCUUCAUCUUCUUCAUCACAUAUAUCUCACUCACAUGAUUCAACAAAAAAAAUAUACAUGUGUGCUAGCUAUCUUAGUAAUUCAAACUUCCUUUUUUCUUAUAAGCAAAAAAAUGCUUUCUUGAUUUGCACAAACACAAAUUCUAUAGCCUUAGGUUUUUUUUUUCUUCUUCAAUUUGAUGUAUAAAUUUUCUUAAUUUUUUUUUCUUUGUAGCAUCAUCAUCAUGCGUAAAUAUGAGUAUGUGCCUGGCUCCCUGUAUGCCAUAUAUGAAGCUCAUUGAAAAAUCAAUGACCUUUGUGGAUGGCGUAUGAGGAGCCAAGCAUAUUCCAUGUCCAUACAUGGGGAUCAUCAUCAGAUUUAAUAUUAUCAGUAUUAAUUUUUUUUUCUUUCUAUUGUUAUUAAUAUUAAUCAAUAUUGAUUGUAAUGAGUAGUGAAGGACAUACAUAUAUUGUUCAACAAAGCAGUCACGGCAUUGUCAUUUUCAAAGUUACAGGGUUGUGCUUCCUCACUGCUGAACAAAGUAGUAAUGAUUUGAUUACGGUUUGGAAGGAAGGAAGGCACGGGAAAAGCGCAAGAAGGGGGAAGUUACGGUAAAAAAGAAGUGUUGGUGACAGUCAAAUCAUGGAAGUUAUAAAAAUCAUUACUCCUUUACUUCAUUCACCUUCCAUGCUUGUCUGUGUCUCAUGGACAUUUCAUAUGACCUUCUGAAUAUUGUUACCAACAACAACUAUACCCUAAUACUGUGUCAUGUGUACAGUUAGUUACUGCCAUUCUUUAUUAACCUUGUUAUGUCAAAUAUUUACUAUUUAUGAGACGUUACUGUUGUUUAUUUUCAUUUAGUGUGGUAGUAAUUUUGUUACAUGAUCAUUUGUUGAUUUGGAAUAAAAUAUUUACUUUUGUUUCCUUAUUGA